UACGGAGGGGGCUAGCGUUGUUCGGAAUUACUGGGCGUAAAGCGCGCGUAGGCGGACCUGCAAGUCGGGGGUGAAAGCCCGAGGCUCAACCUCGGAACUGCCUUCGAUACUGCGGGUCUCGAGUCCGGGAGAGGUGAGUGGAAUUCCUAGUGUAGAGGUGAAAUUCGUAGAUAUUAGGAAGAACACCAGUGGCGAAGGCGGCUCACUGGCCCGGUACUGACGCUGAGGCGCGAAAGCGUGGGUAGCAAACAGG
rnacentral:rRNA from 1 species